rnacentral:tRNA from 1 species
CGGGGCGUAGCGCAGUUUGGUAGCGCACUUGUAUGGGGUGCAAGUGGCCGCUGGUUCAAAUCCAGUCGCCCCGA